CAGUAGGUAGCUCAGUGGUAGAGAGCAUGCUUUGUAUGUAGGAUGUCAUGGGUUCAAUCCCCAGCUUCCCUG